AGAGUUUGAUCCUGGCUCAGAGCGAACGCUGGCGGCAGGCCUAAAACAUGCAAGUCGAACGGACCCUUUCGGGGUUAGUGGCGGACGGGUGAGUAACACGUGGGAACGUGCCCUUUGGUUCGGAACAACUCAGGGAAACUUGAGCUAAUACCGGAUGUGCCCUUCGGGGGAAAGAUUUAUCGCCAUUGGAGCGGCCCGCGUCUGAUUAGCUAGUUGGUGAGGUAAAGGCUCACCAAGGCUACGAUCAGUAGCUGGUCUGAGAGGAUGAUCAGCCACACUGGGACUGAGACACGGCCCAGACUCCUACGGGAGGCAGCAGUUAGGAAUCUUGCGCAAUGCGCGAAAGCGUGACGCAGCAACGCCGCGUGGGGGAAGACGGCCUUCGGGUUGUAAACCCCUUUCAGUUGGGACGAAGCUCCGCCGGUGAAUAGCCGGCUGGAGUGACGGUACCUUCAGAAGAAGCCCCGGCUAACUACGUGCCAGCAGCCGCGGUAAUACGUAGGGGGCAAGCGUUGUCCGGAAUCAUUGGGCGUAAAGAGCGUGUAGGUGGCUCGGUAAGUCCGCUGUGAAAGUCCAGGGCUCAACCCUGGAAUGCCGGUGGAAACUGUCGAGCUAGAGUCCGGAAGAGGCGAGUGGAAUUCCUGGUGUAGCGGUGAAAUGCGCAGAUAUCUGCAGGAACACCCGUGGCGAAGGCGGCUGACUGGAUCGCAACUGACGCUGAGGAACGAAAGCUAGGGGAGCAAACAGGAUUAGAUACCCUGGUAGUCCUAGCCCUAAACCAUCAGGACUUGGGGUGGCCCGCGUAGGCGGGUCGUCCCGUAGCUAACGCGUUAAGUCCUGCGCCUGGGGAGUACGGUCGCAAGACUGAAACUCAAAGGAAUUGACGG
rnacentral:rRNA from 1 species